AGCUUGCUCCUCUGACGUUAGCGGCGGACGGGUGAGUAACACGUGGAUAACCUACCUAUAAGACUGGGAUAACUUCGGGAAACCGGAGCUAAUACCGGAUAAUAUAUUGGACCGCAUGGUUCAAUAGUGAAAGACGGUUUUGCUGUCACUUAUAGAUGGAUCCGCGCCGCAUUAGCUAGUUGGUAAGGUAACGGCUUACCAAGGCAACGAUGCGUAGCCGACCUGAAAGGGUGAUCGGCCACACUGGAACUGAGACACGGUCCAGACUCCUACGGGAGGCAGCAGUAGGGAAUCUUCCGCAAUGGGCGAAAGCCUGACGGAGCAACGCCGCGUGAGUGAUGAAGGUCUUCGGAUCGUAAAACUCUGUUAUUAGGGAAGAACAAAUGUGUAAGCAACUAUGCACGUCUUGACGGUACCUAAUCAGAAAGCCACGGCUAACUACGUGCCAGCAGCCGCGGUAAUACGUAGGUGGCAAGCGUUAUCCGGAAUUAUUGGGCGUAAAGCGCGCGUAGGCGGUUUUUUAAGUCUGAUGUGAAAGCCCACGGCUCAACCGUGGAGGGUCAUUGGAAACUGGAAAACUUGAGUGCAGAAGAGGAAAGUGGAAUUCCAUGUGUAGCGGUGAAAUGCGCAGAGAUAUGGAGGAACACCAGUGGCGAAGGCGACUUUCUGGUCUGUAACUGACGCUGAUGUGCGAAAGCGUGGGGAUCAAACAGGAUUAGAUACCCUGAUAGUCCACGCCGUAAACGAUGAGUGCUAAGUGUUAGGGGGUUUCCGCCCCUUAGUGCUGCAGCUAACGCAUUAAGCACUC
rnacentral:rRNA from 1 species